AUUGAACGCUGGCGGCAUGCCUUACACAUGCAAGUCGAACGGCAGCACGGGUGCUUGCACCUGGUGGCGAGUGGCGAACGGGUGAGUAAUACAUCGGAACAUGUCCUGUAGUGGGGGAUAGCCCGGCGAAAGCCGGAUUAAUACCGCAUACGAUCUACGGAUGAAAGCGGGGGACCUUCGGGCCUCGCGCUAUAGGGUUGGCCGAUGGCUGAUUAGCUAGUUGGUGGGGUAAAGGCCUACCAAGGCGACGAUCAGUAGCUGGUCUGAGAGGACGACCAGCCACACUGGGACUGAGACACGGCCCAGACUCCUACGGGAGGCAGCAGUGGGGAAUUUUGGACAAUGGGCGAAAGCCUGAUCCAGCAAUGCCGCGUGUGUGAAGAAGGCCUUCGGGUUGUAAAGCACUUUUGUCCGGAAAGAAAUCCUUGGCUCUAAUACAGUCGGGGGAUGGCGGUACCGGAAGAAUAAGCACCGGCUAACUACGUG
rnacentral:rRNA from 1 species